CUGGGGAGGGAAGGGGAAGCUGCCUGGGCCAGCGAGGUUCCACAGGAGUGUGGAACGAGGCCUGGCUGCCACACGCUCACCCCGUCUCUUUGAACUGGCCCACAGCACUUUGAGGCUUUUCCUCACGGCAGCCAGUCCCGUAAACACCGUUUCUGCUGGAGUUAUAAUAUGCAGCCAUCUGCAAUUUUGUACCCACAAAACAGCUUAUAAAUCACAGCAGGGCUGGCAGGGCAUUCCCUCUGCUGAAGGACUGGAAUGGUGGGGUUUUUCCUGAGGGCAGGCACAGGAGAUUUGGAAGCCCUCAAGACCUGUGCCAGGCAGUGCUUCCACAGGCUGACUGUGGCUCUUUUCAUCAGACUGCAUUUGUCCAUCCCACAAAAGAGCACAAUCCCCAUUUUCUCCCCUUCUUCUCCCACACAGGAGGGGCCUCUUCCUGGCAGACCCGCACAAUGAAGGCCCAGUGCUGGCUGGUGUUGGGGGAAGCACCAGGAUACCUGGAUUGACCCUUGCUCUCGAAAGGAGGAUCCUUUCUUCGUGCUGUACUCCACACCAGGCAGGCAGAGUUCACUUCUGGGAGCUGUGGGAGAGGAGGAGACUGACAUCUGCUACCCAAAAGGAAGGGAUUCCCCCACCUCCCAACCAAAUUCAGAAAGUGGAUGGAUGCUGACACUGCCUUCGGCACUGAAGCUGCAAUAUGCUGUGUGGGCAGAUCCCACUUCAGCAGCAUUCACAGCAAGAUCACACAGACAUAAAAGGAAGUCUGAAUGAAUGAAGGGAGAAUGUCACAUCUAGGCACACAAUCUGAAGUCCAACUCAAUUUCUCUAUGGGCUUUUAAAUGAAAUUCUUGCUUACUUCAUAUGCCUUUUAUUUAAGACUGUGUCAGAGAGUUCUGAAAGAUUGCUUUCAUUAAAUGUACUUAGUUCCUGAA